rnacentral:lncRNA from 1 species
CCAGUAUUUGGCUACCAGUAGUAGCAUCAUUUACAAGUGGACAUACCAAAUCUACCUAUUUGGAAAUGCUUGAUAAAGUUGAACCACCACAAAUACCAAUUGGUUAUGGAAUUAGUGUAGCUUAUGGAUGUCUAUUAGAUAUAAUACGAUCAAUUGCUCUUGCAAUUAAUGACACAAA